GAUGAACGCUGGCGGCGUGCCUAAUACAUGCAAGUCGAGCGAACAGACGAGGAGCUUGCUCCUCUGACGUUAGCGGCGGACGGGUGAGUAACACGUGGAUAACCUACCUAUAAGACUGGGAUCACUUCGGGAAACCGGAGCUAAUACCGGAUAAUAUAUUGAACCGCAUGGUUCCAUAGUGAAAGACGGUUUUGCUGUCACUUAUAGAUGGAUCCGCGCCGCGUUAGCUAGUUGGUAAGGUAACGGCUUACCAAGGCGACGAUGCGUAGCCGACCUGAGAGGGUGAUCGGCCACACUGGAACUGAGACACGGUCCAGGCUCCUACGGGAGGCAGCAGUAGGGAAUCUUCCGCAAUGGGCGAGAGCCUGACGGAGCAACGCCGCGUGAGUGAUGAAGGUCUUCGGAUCGUAAAACUCUGUUAUUAGGGAAGAACAAAUGUGUAAGUAACUAUGCACGUCUUGACGGUACCUAAUCAGAAAGCCACGGCUAACUACGUG
rnacentral:rRNA from 1 species